UGCAGAAACAUCUUCCAUAAGGCAUGACAUGGUUAUUGCAGCAUUGAUGUGAUGUUUUCAUGAUACUUGUAUGAGAAUAUAACCGUGUGGUCGCCACUCAGAGAUGGGUGAGGAAAUACUGCAUAGUUCCCAGGCUGGCAUCUUGCGCUACAAAGACAUUUGUGGAAAGUUCCCAGGCUGUCUGGGAGUCUUUAUGGAGUGUAAAGUGUGUGUUUCAGAGGCUCUUCUUCUCACACUCCUGUACCCUUCACCCCCGAGGCUUCAGGACAGCUCUCAUAGGAGGGAGGGAAGAGGAGGAGAGGGCGGCUGAGCAUCCAUCAGCCCAGCUCGGAGUGCUCUGUCUGGGCUCGCUGGGAAGGCCGGAGGGCAGGCAGGCAUGGAGCCCCACCCCCCCUCCAAAACAUCUCUUAAUCUCACCUGAUAAUCUCACUAUUUCUCCUCUUCUCUUGUCAGUGUCUAUGACACACGAUUAUCUUUUCAAACCUCUUUUUAAAAUGUUUUUCUCUUAGGUUUACAAAAAAAAAGCAAGGGAAGAUUUUUUGCUUUUUAGCGUUCGAGAU